GAAUGCUGACAUAAGUAACGAUAAAGCGGGUGAAAAGCCCGCUCGCCGGAAGACCAAGGGUUCCUGUCCAACGUUAAUCGGGGCAGGGUGAGUCGACCCCUAAGGCGAGGCCGAAAGGCGUAGUCGAUGGGAAACAGGUUAAUAUUCCUGUACUUGGUGUUACUGCGAAGGGGGGACGGAGAAGGCUAUGUUGGCCGGGCGACGGUUGUCCCGGUUUAAGCGUGUAGGCUGGUUUUCCAGGCAAAUCCGGAAAAUCAAGGCUGAGGCGUGAUGACGAGGCACUACGGUGCUGAAGCGACAAAUGCCCUGCUUCCAGGAAAAGCCUCUAAGCAUCAGGUAACAUCAAAUCGUACCCCAAACCGACACAGGUGGUCAGGUAGAGAAUACCAAGGCGCUUGAGAGAACUCGGGUGAAGGAACUAGGCAAAAUGGUGCCGUAACUUCGGGAGAAGGCACGCUGAUAUGUAGGUGAAGCGACUUGCUCGUGGAGCUGAAAUCAGUCGAAGAUACCAGCUGGCUGCAACUGUUUAUUAAAAACACAGCACUGUGCAAACACGAAAGUGGACGUAUACGGUGUGACGCCUGCCCGGUGCCGGAAGGUUAAUUGAUGGGGUUAGCGGUAACGCGAAGCUCUUGAUCGAAGCCCCGGUAAACGGCGGCCGUAACUAUAACGGUCCUAAGGUAGCGAAAUUCCUUGUCGGGUAAGUUCCGACCUGCACGAAUGGCGUAAUGAUGGCCAGGCUGUCUCCACCCGAGACUCAGUGAAAUUGAACUCGCUGUGAAGAUGCAGUGUACCCGCGGCAAGACGGAAAGACCCCGUGAACCUUUACUAUAGCUUGACACUGAACAUUGAGCCUUGAUGUGUAGGAUAGGUGGGAGGCUUUGAAGUGUGGACGCCAGUCUGCAUGGAGCCGACCUUGAAAUACCACCCUUUAAUGUUUGAUGUUCUAACGUGGGCCCCUUACCGGGGUUGCGGACAGUGUCUGGUGGGUAGUUUGACUGGGGCGGUCUCCUCCUAAAGAGUAACGGAGGAGCACGAAGGUUGGCUAAUCCUGGUCGGACAUCAGGAGGUUAGUGCAAUGGCAUAAGCCAGCUUGACUGCGAGCGUGACGGCGCGAGCAGGUGCGAAAGCAGGUCAUAGUGAUCCGGUGGUUCUGAAUGGAAGGGCCAUCGCUCAACGGAUAAAAGGUACUCCGGGGAUAACAGGCUGAUACCGCCCAAGAGUUCAUAUCGACGGCGGUGUUUGGCACCUCGAUGUCGGCUCAUCACAUCCUGGGGCUGAAGUAGGUCCCAAGGGUAUGGCUGUUCGCCAUUUAAAGUGGUACGCGAGCUGGGUUUAGAACGUCGUGAGACAGUUCGGUCCCUAUCUGCCGUGGGCGCUGGAGAACUGAGGGGGGCUGCUCCUAGUACGAGAGGACCGGAGUGGACGCAUCACUGGUGUUCGG
rnacentral:rRNA from 1 species